AUACGGAGGGUGCAAGCGUUACUCGGAAUCACUGGGCGUAAAGCGCGCGCAGGCGGCUAUUUAAGUUGGAUGUGAAAGCCUACGGCUCAACCGUAGAACUGCAUCCAAAACUAUUUAGCUAGAGUGUGGGAGAGGAAGAUGGAAUUAGCUGUGUAGGGGUAAAAUCCGUAGAGAUAACUAGGAAUACCAAAAGCGAAGGCAAUCUUCUGGAACACUACUGACGCUGAGGCGCGAAAGCGUGGGGAGCAAACGGGAUUAGAAACCCUAGUAGUCC
rnacentral:rRNA from 1 species